rnacentral:rRNA from 1 species
CGACGGUUGUCCCGGUUUAAGCGUGUAGGUGUGUGUUCCAGGUAAAUCCGGUUCACUUUAACACUGAGGCGUGAUGACGAGGCACUACGGUGCUGAAGCAACAAAUGCCCUGCUUCCAGGAAAAGCCUCUAAGCAUCAGGUAACAUCAAAUCGUACCCCAAACCGACACAGGUGGUCAGGUAGAGAAUACCAAGGCGCUUGAGAGAACUCGGGUGAAGGAACUAGGCAAAAUGGUGCCGUAACUUCGGGAGAAGGCACGCUGACACGUAGGUGAAGUGAUUUACUCAUGGAGCUGAAGUCAGUCGAAGAUACCAGCUGGCUGCAACUGUUUAUUAAAAACACAGCACUGUGCAAACACGAAAGUGGACGUAUACGGUGUGACGCCUGCCCGGUGCCGGAAGGUUAAUUGAUGGGGUCAGCGCAAGCGAAGCUCCUGAUCGAAGCCCCGGUAAACGGCGGCCGUAACUAUAACGGUCCUAAGGUAGCGAAAUUCCUUGUCGGGUAAGUUCCGACCUGCACGAAUGGCGUAAUGAUGGCCAGGCUGUCUCCACCCGAGACUCAGUGAAAUUGAACUCGCUGUGAAGAUGCAGUGUACCCGCGGCAAGACGGAAAGACCCCGUGAACCUUUACUAUAGCUUGACACUGAACAUUGAGCCUUGAUGUGUAGGAUAGGUGGGAGGCUUUGAAGUGUGGACGCCAGUCUGCAUGGAGCCGACCUUGAAAUACCACCCUUUAAUGUUUGAUGUUCUAACGUGGACCCGUAAUCCGGGUUGCGGACAGUGUCUGGUGGGUAGUUUGACUGGGGCGGUCUCCUCCUAAAGAGUAACGGAGGAGCACGAAGGUUGGCUAAUCCUGGUCGGACAUCAGGAGGUUAGUGCAAUGGCAUAAGCCAGCUUGACUGCGAGCGUGACGGCGCGAGCAGGUGCGAAAGCAGGUCAUAGUGAUCCGGUGGUUCUGAAUGGAAGGGCCAUCGCUCAACGGAUAAAAGGUACUCCGGGGAUAACAGGCUGAUACCGCCCAAGAGUUCAUAUCGACGGCGGUGUUUGGCACCUCGAUGUCGGCUCAUCACAUCCUGGGGCUGAAGUAGGUCCCAAGGGUAUGGCUGUUCGCCAUUUAAAGUGGUACGCGAGCUGGGUUUAGAACGUCGUGAGACAGUUCGGUCCCUAUCUGCCGUGGGCGCUGGAGAACUGAGGGGGGCUGCUCCUAGUACGAGAGGACCGGAGUGGACGCAUCACUGGUGUUCGGGUUGUCAUGCCAAUGGCACUGCCCGGUAGCUAAAUGCGGAAGAGAUAAGUGCUGAAAGCAUCUAAGCACGAAACUUGCCCCGAGAUGAGUUCUCCCUGAGACUUUAAGUCUCCUGAAGGAACGUUGAAGACGACGACGUUGAUAGGCCGGGUGUGUAAGCGCAGCGAUGCGUUGAGCUAACCGGUACUAAUGAACCGUGAGGCUUAACCUUACAACGCCGAAG